GCUGCGGUCCCCGGUGUACUCCUGUCCAGAGGGGCAUGACCCGCUUGUGAUAGCUCCAGCACCUCUGCCCCAUGGGGCCUCCCCCAGAUAUAAGGACAGUGACAGGCCGUGGCCGAGCCUCCUCCAGGUAUAAGGGAGGUGACAGGCCGUGGCUGAGCCUGACAGCCCCUCACUGCACCUUCUCGUAGAAGAGCCUCUCGAGCCGCCCGUCUUCCUUCUUGAGGGACAGCCAGCGCCCGCACAGGAACAGGAACUCAUCCUCGUUGGUGUCGUUCCAGAUCUCCACCUUCUCCACGUACCAGUCCGCACACCACUUGGUGUUGUCAUGGCGGAGCUUGAUCUUGUAGAUGACACCCAGUAAAUGGUUAUCGACUGCCUAUUCUAUGCCGACUGCCUCUACAUACAGCCAAGCACAAAAGUUGACCUAUCCACUGUGUGCGGCACAUUGCUGUUUUCACAAUGCAUUCGCCAGGUAUCAACACCUAUCAACAGGCAUCGAUGAAGACAGGGCACAGCCCACAGGUCUAAUUGGCAAUUGCAUUACUAUUAUUCCUGCUCCGGAAGUGGUAAACUCAAGUUGAAGGUGAACAGUUUGUGUCUGGAUGAUGAAGCAGAUGAGUGGGAGUGCUGGGGCCUGGCUCCCUGGGACCUGGCAGCCCGGCUGGGCCUCCUUCCACGCUCCCUGACUAACACACACGGCCACCAACCGGCUGCAGACCCACUUAGAUGACACCCUCUUUUCUUGUCCCAGGCCUGAUAUCCUCCCCACCAAUAGCAAGUGGUUACAUGCUAAGUGUCGUCCCUGGCUGAGGGCCAGGCCCUUGAUAAGUACCCAUUGGUGGAUGCGCGAACUCCCCCCACACACCGCCGUGGGCAAGGCCACAGAUUGGGCUGGGAGCCAGUCCCCUUUAUCUGACCUCCCUGUGGCCAUGGUCUGGCCUGUGGACAUGUCUGGCAGUCAGGUGAUUGGAGAGGAGAAGUGAGAAUGCAGAGAGGGCAGGGAGAGGGAAGCAGGGCUGGCAGGAAGGGAGUUUGACAAAGCCCACCCUAGUGGCCCCUCUGGACAGACUUCUUCCUUUUCAUAAAAUCAUAGUCUAUCAGAGCUGGAAGGGCCUUAGACACCAUUCGGUCACUUUCCAAGCCCUUUUAUAGCCACAAAACCCUUUGCUUAGCAGAGGGCCUGCUCGGCACCCCGGUCCAUAGGCUGGGUCGGAGUGGAGCCACCUAGACGGGAGUGGGUGCCCGUCUAACCCCGUCCCACCACCCCCACGGGUCCCAAGGGCCAUCGUGCCACCCAGGACUCUGCACGACACAAUUCAGCCAGUCCAUAUCUGACCCCUCGCUGUACAGACGAGGAAGCUGAGGCCAGAGAAGUGGAAUCAGGUGAGGAGCUGAUGCAGAAGCAGGUUCGAGCCUCCGUGGGCAUAGCCCUCCCCACGCUGCGGCGCUCACCCCCACAUUUGUGGACCCCACCAGGAACUGGGUUUUCUGAAGAUGGCCCAGUCCCCUGCGGCCCAGCCUGCAGCUCAAGCAGGCUUCCUGCUCACCAUGGCCUGCUCCACCACACCCAACCCCACCCAGGCAGGACCCAGGGCUGCAUCGGCUGGGAGCCAGGGACAAGUGUGCUCGCAGGGAAGGACAAAGGCAAAAGCCCAAGUGAGGGCACCCAACAUUCCACAGAGGUCUUGGACGUCCCUGGGGACCACGAAGAGCUGGCGCCCAGAUCCCUGGACCUGGGGAGGAAAAGAGGGUAAACUCUGAGUGUCCCGCAUACCGUUCCUCUCUCGAACUUGUUGGUGCGGUUCUCCGACUUGCCGAGGUAGCGCUCUCCGGUGUCCCCCAGGUCGCCGUAGAUGGUGAUGUACACCUUGGCGUCUGUCCCCGCCCCUGGAACAUUCCCCGUGAAGAUCUGAACGGAGUACAGCACAACUGGGCAGGCAGGUGGACAGAUGGACAGACAAAGGGAAGAAAAGGGUGACAGCUCUUCAGGAUUUGGGGAACCGGAUUUGCAGGAGGCAUCAAGGUUCCAUCCCAGCCCUCGAGCAGUUAGUGCCGUCCUGUCAUUUGCUCGGUUAUGCACAUUUGGCUUCAAAUCCACACAGAUUCUCCAGUGGGAAGUUUGAUCAUCUGAUGUGGACGCAGGUGGGCUCGAAGAGACCCAACGGGUGGGAUGGAAACUUUCCAAACCAUCUGCCCAGACAGCCUAUAGUGUCUGGGGAGAAAGAACUGGAAACUACCUAUAAUGCAUCCUCAUCCGGGUCACCAAAUCUACCUGCUAUGACACACUGACAAUAAUAGGCCUUCCCUUUUGAGGGUGACUGGUAUCAACAACGCCAGGUCUAUGUAACCAGCUUAUGGGAAAAAUAACAUAUUUUCGAUAGAAUAGUUUCCUUCAGUGUCCAUUUCCUUAUUUUCACUUAUUCUCCAGCUCACUGCAGCCCAGCCCAACCCAGCCAUCCAGACCGACAAUGACCAAAGCCACUGUGACUGCCACCCUCCCCUUGGCCUCCCAUGCCCAUGGGAAGUGCUCAAUAA